rnacentral:rRNA from 1 species
AGCCGCCGCGGUAAUACGAAGGGACCUAGCGUAGUUCGGAAUUACUGGGCUUAAAGAGUUCGUAGGUGGUUGAAAAAGUUGGUGGUGAAAUCCCAGAGCUUAACUCUGGAACUGCCAUCAAAACUUUUCAGCUAGAGUAUGAUAGAGGAAAGCAGAAUUUCUAGUGUAGAGGUGAAAUUCGUAGAUAUUAGAAAGAAUACCAAUUGCGAAGGCAGCUUUCUGGAUCAUUACUGACACUGAGGAACGAAAGCAUGGGUAGCGAAGAGGAUUAGAUACCCUCGUAGUCCAUGCCGUAAACGAUGUGUGUUAGACGUUGGAAAUUUAUUUUCAGUGUCGCAGGGAAACCGAUAAACACACCGCCUGGGGAGUACGACCGCAAGGUUAAAACUCAAAUGAAUUGACGGGGACCCGCACAAGUAGUGGAGCAUGUGGUUUAAUUCGAAGAUACGCGCAGAACCUUACCAACACUUGACAUGUUCGUCGCGACUCUAAGAGAUUAGAGUUUUCGGUUCGGCCGGACGAAACACAGGUGCUGCAUGGCUGUCGUCAGCUCGUGUCGUGAGAUGUUGGGUUAAGUCCCGCAACGAGCGCAACCCUCACUUUUAGUUGCCAUCAUUAAGUUGGGCACUCUGAAAGAACUGCCAGUGAUAAGCUGGAGGAAGGUGGGGAUGACGUCAAGUCCUCAUGGCCCUUACGUGUUGGGCUACACACGUGCUACAAUGGCAUCUACAACAGGAAGCAAAACGGCAACGUUAAGCAAAUCCCGAAAAGAUGCCUCAGUUCGGAUUGCACUCUGCAACUCGAGUGCAUGAAGCUGGAAUUACUAGUAAUCGUGGAUCAGCGUGCCACGGUGAAUGCGUUCCCGGGUCUUGCACACACCGCCCGU